rnacentral:rRNA from 1 species
AGUGAACGCUGGCGGUAGGCCUAACACAUGCAAGUCGAACGGCAGCACAGUAAGAGCUUGCUCUUACGGGUGGCGAGUGGCGGACGGGUGAGGAAUACAUCGGAAUCUACUUUUUCGUGGGGGAUAACGUAGGGAAACUUACGCUAAUACCGCAUACGACCUACGGGUGAAAGCAGGGGAUCUUCGGACCUUGCGCGAUUGAAUGAGCCGAUGUCGGAUUAGCUAGUUGGCGGGGUAAAGGCCCACCAAGGCGACGAUCCGUAGCUGGUCUGAGAGGAUGAUCAGCCACACUGGCACUGAGACACGGUCCAGACUCCUACGGGAGGCAGCAGUGGGGAAUAUUGGACAAUGGGCGCAAGCCUGAUCCAGCCCUACCGCGUGGGUGAAGAAGGCCUUCGGGUUGUAAAGCCCUUUUGUUGGGAAAGAAAAGCAGCAGGUUAAUACCCCGCUGUUCUGACGGUACCCAAAGAAUAAGCACCGGCUAACUUCGUG